rnacentral:misc_RNA from 1 species
GCCCUCUAACUACUAAAACUCUCUCCACUCAACCCCAUUAUCAUCUUUUAUUCAGUUUCUUAUCAACCUCUCCUCCUCUGCAACUGCAUUAACUUAACAAAUCAAACAAAUUCUCUUUACAAAAAGCUGAGAGAACCUUAUUCAUCAAUACUAGAGAAAGAUGAAGUGGGGCAGGAAAAAAUCAUCUUCAUCUGCUUCUUCUGGCUCUUUCUUUAUCUCUCAUAUUUUACCCACUUCUUGGCUGACAAAGUUCAAGCAAAUGAACAUCAACUCAGGUAAGAAACAUGCAAAGCAAAAAGUGAAGUGGAAUUCUGUGUGUACAAGCUCCUCACGCUGUGUUAGUUCGGGAGGUAAGUUUUACGGAGGAGAUGGUGAUGCUUUUUGGAGGCUAUCGUUUGGCGAGGAGAGUCUUGAUGGCUUGAAGAGUAAAAAUGUGUUGCAAUCAGUUCGGUACAAUUCAGACGAUGAUCUUGAAUUUCCACCAUCUAGCUACCAUAGCUAUAGAUCAAAAGCUUCAAGAGUGAAUGGAACUGAACAGGUUCAGAAGUUAAGUAACAUGGUUUCUCAAGUAAGGAAUAUGAGAAGAUUGCCUAAAGAAGAGGAGAUUUUGCCAGAACCAACAUGUACAAAGAAUAAGGUAGCAGAAAUCAGAACACCAAGGCUGAAAGUUGAAAGAGCUAAGAAAUUGAAGAAAGAAAAUCAAAGGGUUUUCAAAAAAAAGCAAUUAGAAUUAGAUGGAAGACCACAUGUAGCAGAAAGGAUUCCAAGAAAUGCAGUAGUGAAGAAUAUGUAUGAAACUGAACCUCGAAGAACAGGUGGGAUGGUUGAAAGGGAGGAUCGUAAGUUGGCAGCUGCCGAUUCAAGGAAAGAUUUCUACUUCUCUUCCAUGAAUUCAAGAGAUUCUUAUGGAAGAAAACUUGAAGAUUGUGUUUUUGCAGCAGAGAAUGGAAACAGCGGAUUUUCUGCAGGGAAGUUUAGCUUUGAGUGGCAGAAAUUGAAACAAAAGAAGAUCGAAGAGCUCAAGUCCACAAGUGAAGAACAGAGGAAAUCUCUAUACAAAAGCAGAGAGUCACAGAGGAAAAGACCAAAGCAGAGCAGCAAAGUAAGAGUUUAUUCUCCACGAGCAGCUUCAAAAGCCGAAAUCUGCAAAAUAAAAGCUCUGGAAGACAUGAAGAAAGCCAAGUUGAAAAUGAAAAAGAAGGCAAAGGAAAAAGAAAUGGAGGAAUUCAAUGGUUUAGAGAGCUUCGCCAUGGUGAAAUGUUCAUAUGAUCCCCAGAAGGACUUCAGAGAUUCAAUGAUUGAGAUGAUUAAAGAGCAGAGGAUUAACCAGCCAGAAGAGCUUGAAGAACUCUUGGCAUGCUACCUGACAUUGAAUUCUGAUGAGUACCAUGAUCUCAUCAUCAGGGUAUUCCGGCAAGUAUGGUUCGACCUGAACCAAGCUUGUUUCGAUAUUGAAUUCACUAAUGAAGAGUGUUACUAGGAGUUAAACCACAUCUUUGCUAAUGAUGGGAAAACUUGUAAGUAUGAUGUAGAUAGGUUGCUAUUCUAAUAUUAUUCUUCAAUUUCAGCACAUAAGCAGGAUUAGUUAGCUGAUCUCCUGACCAUAAACAACUUGAAGAAAGACUAGCUAGGGAAGAUGUACAACUGAGGUAAGGAGAAUCUAGACAACACAGGUCAAUCGUUCAACAGUAGCUACUAGCUAGGGGACCUUUUCCAAUAUCCUGACUGAAUUAUAUUACAAAGUACUUUUUUUUUUUUUAAGAGAUUGAUUUAUAUUACAAAUAUUCUCCCGCAAGCGAAGAAAAAUGUAUUAGUAGUAAGACUGUAAGAGCCAGUCUGGGCCUCCAAGUAUAGGUAAUGUGCAAGGAAUCAUCCUGCAUUCAACCCUUAUGGUGAUGGGCAACGAAGUAAGAAUGUUUGUAAACCCUUCAAUUCCCAAAUCCAUGUCUUAUUAUCAUCCUAGAUGCCCUAUACUAAAG